rnacentral:miRNA from 1 species
GUGUGUGUGUGUGUGUGUGUGUGUGUGUCGUUGACGUGCCUGCCAUGCUGAUGCACAGAAGCACAGGCCCACAGUGGGG